CAGCCGCCGCGGUAACACCAGCCCCUCGAGUGGUGGGGAUGAUUAUUUGGCCUAAAGCGUCCGUAGCUGGCCCUGUAAAUCUCUCGUUAAAUCCAACGUCCUAAGCGUUGGGCUGCGAGAGAGACUGCAGAGCUAGAGGGUGGGAGAGGUUAGCGGUAUUCUGGGGGUAGGGGCGAAAUCCUUUGAUCCCCGGAGGACCACCAGUGGCGAAGGCUGCUGACUAGAACACGUCUGACGGUCAGGGACGAAAGCUGGGGUAGCGAACCGGAUUAGAUACCCGGGUAGUCCCAGCUGUAAACUAUGCAAACUCAGUGAUGCAUUGGCUUGAUGCCAAUGCAGUGCUGCAGGGAAGCCGUUAAGUUUGCCGCCUGGGAAGUACGUACGCAAGUAUGAAACUAAAAGGAAUUGGCGGGGGAGCAC
rnacentral:rRNA from 2 species